UACGAAGGGGCUAGCGUUGUUCGGAAUUACUGGGCGUAAAGCGCGUGUAGGCGGUUGUUCAAGUCAGGUGUGAAAGCCUUGAGCUCAACUCAAGAAAUGCACUUGAUACUGGAUGACUAGAGGACCGGAGAGGAUAGUGGAAUUCCCAGUGUAGUGGUGAAAUACGUAGAGAUUGGGAAGAACACCAGUGGCGAAGGCGGCCAACUGGACCGGUAUUGACGCUGAGGCGCGAAAGCGUGGGGAGCAAACAGG
rnacentral:rRNA from 1 species